rnacentral:rRNA from 1 species
AGUGAACGCUGGCGGUAGGCCUAACACAUGCAAGUCGAACGGCAGCACAGUAAGAGCUUGCCCUUACGGGUGGCGAGUGGCGGACGGGUGAGGAAUACAUAGGAAUCCACUUUUUCGUGGGGGAUAACGUAGGGAAACUUACGCUAAUACCGCAUACGACCUACGGGUGAAAGCAGGGGAUCUUCGGAGCCUGCCCGAUUGAAUGAGCUGAUGUCGCAUUAGCUAGUUGGCGGGGUAAAGGCCCACCAAGGCGACGAUCCGUAGCUGGUCUGAGAGGAUGAUCAGCCACACUGGAACUGAGACACGGUCCAGACUCCUACGGGAGGCAGCAGUGGGGAAUAUUGGACAAUGGGCGCAAGCCUGAUCCAGCCAUGCCGCGUGGGUGAAGAAGGCCUUCGGGUUGUAAAACCCUUUUGUUGGGGAAGAAAAGCAGUAUAUUAAAACCCCGCUAUUCUGACGGUACCCAAACAAAAAGCACCGGCUAACUACGUG